rnacentral:ncRNA from 1 species
GAAGGUUGGCCCUUCGGCAUCGUUCUGCAGGGGAUGGUGUCAAACCGCCAUGAGCUGCUGCGUUGAAUGAGGCGUGGUGGUGAGCGUCAUGGAGAAGGUCGCACAGGAUGCGGCAAGGU